CAAUAGCGUAUAUUAAAGUUGUUGCGGUUAAAAAGCUCGUAGUUGGAUUUCUGCCGAGAAGGUUCGGUCUGCACUUUGUGCACGCAUCGAGUCCGUCUUGGCAUCCUCGUGAAAAACGUUUCUGCGCUUGAUUGCGUGGUGCGGGGUUCACGACUUUUACUUUGAGGAAAUUAGAGUGUUCACGGCAGGCUUCCGCCUUGAAUAUAUUAGCAUGGAAUAAUAAUAUAGGAUCUUGGUUCUAUUUUGUUGGUUUCUAGAGCUGAGUUAAUGAUUAAUAGGGACAAUUGGGGGCAUUCGUAUUAACGCGUCAGAGGUGGAAUUCUUGGAUUGCGUUACGACGAACUACUGCGAAAGCAUUUGCCAAGGAUGUUUUCAUUGA
rnacentral:rRNA from 1 species